rnacentral:rRNA from 1 species
UACGUAGGGUGCGAGCGUUAAUCGGAAUUACUGGGCGUAAAGCGUGCGCAGGCGGCUUUGCAAGACAGAUGUGAAAUCCCCGGGCUCAACCUGGGACUUGCAGUUGAAACUGGAAAGCUAGAGUAGGGUAGAGGGGUGUGGAAUUCCAGGUGUAGCGGUGAAAUGCGUAGAUAUCUGGAGGAAUACCGAUGGCGAAGGCAGCCUCCUGGGCCAACACUGACGCUCAUGCACGAAAGCGUGGGGAGCAAACAGG